CGGGCUGUAGGGGAGCGGUACCCCGCCUGAUUUGGGAUCAGGAAGUCGCGAGUUCGAUCCUCGCCAGCCCGACCA
rnacentral:tRNA from 1 species